UACGUAGGGUGCGAGCGUUGUCCGGAUUUAUUGGGCGUAAAGGGCUCGUAGGCGGCGUGUCGCGUCGGGAGUGAAAGCCCGUUGCUUAACGGCGGGUUGGCUUUCGGUACGGGCAUGCUGGAGUGCGGCAGGGGAGACUGGAAUUCCUGGUGUAGCGGUGGAAUGCGCAGAUAUCAGGAGGAACACCGGUGGCGAAGGCGGGUCUCUGGACCACAACUGACGCUGAGGCGCGAAAGCUAGGGGAGCAAACAGG
rnacentral:rRNA from 1 species